rnacentral:rRNA from 1 species
GAUGGGAGCUUGCUCCCUGAUGUUAGCGGCGGACGGGUGAGUAACACGUGGGUAACCUGCCUGUAAGACUGGGAUAACUCCGGGAAACCGGGGCUAAUACCGGAUGGUUGUUUGAACCGCAUGGUUCAAACAUAAAAGGUGGCUUCGGCUACCACUUACAGAUGGACCCGCGGCGCAUUAGCUAGUUGGUGAGGUAACGGCUCACCAAGGCAACGAUGCGUAGCCGACCUGAGAGGGUGAUCGGCCACACUGGGACUGAGACACGGCCCAGACUCCUACGGGAGGCAGCAGUAGGGAAUCUUCCGCAAUGGACGAAAGUCUGACGGAGCAACGCCGCGUGAGUGAUGAAGGUUUUCGGAUCGUAAAGCUCUGUUGUUAGGGAAGAACAAGUACCGUUCGAAUAGGGCGGUACCUUGACGGUACCUAACCAGAAAGCCACGGCUAACUACGUGCCAGCAGCCGCGGUAAUACGUAGGUGGCAAGCGUUGUCCGGAAUUAUUGGGCGUAAAGGGCUCGCAGGCGGUUUCUUAAGUCUGAUGUGAAAGCCCCCGGCUCAACCGGGGAGGGUCAUUGGAAACUGGGGAACUUGAGUGCAGAAGAGGAGAGUGGAAUUCCACGUGUAGCGGUGAAAUGCGUAGAGAUGUGGAGGAACACCAGUGGCGAAGGCGACUCUCUGGUCUGUAACUGACGCUGAGGAGCGAAAGCGUGGGGAGCGAACAGGAUUAGAUACCCUGGUAGUCCACGCCGUAAACGAUGAGUGCUAAGUGUUAGGGGGUUUCCGCCCCUUAGUGCUGCAGCUAACGCAU